rnacentral:rRNA from 1 species
ACUCCUACGGGAGGCAGCAGUGGGGAAUCUUCCACAAUGGACGAAGUCUGAUGGAGCGACACCGCGUGAAGGAUGAAGGCCUAACGGUUGUAAACUUCUUUCUGAAGGAGCAUAAUGAGAGUACUUCAGGAAUAAGGACGGCUAAAUACGUGCCAGCAGCCGCGGUAAUACGUAUGUCUCAAGCGUUACCGCAUGACACUGGGUGUAAAGGGUUCGUAGGCGGAAAUUUAAGUCAGGUAUGAAAGACCGGAGCUCAACUCCGAGUUUGUGCUUGAAACUGGAUUUCUAGAAUUAGGGAGAGGUAAGCGGAAUUCUAAGUGUAGGGGUGCAAAUCCGUAGAUACUUAGAGGAACACCAAAAGCGAAGGCAGCUUACUGGAACUAUAUUGACGCUGAUGAACG